UAGUGUUACAGCUCUUUUAGAAUUUGUCUAGCAGACUUUCCGGUUUUUACCAGAAAGCACC
rnacentral:snRNA from 1 species